rnacentral:rRNA from 1 species
UGGGGAAUAUUGCACAAUGGGCGGAAGCCUGAUGCAGCGACGCCGCGUGGGGGAUGAAGGCCUUCGGGUUGUAAACUCCUUUCGACAGGGACGAAGCUUUUGUGACGGUACCUGUAUAAGAAGCACCGGCUAACUACGUGCCAGCAGCCGCGGUAAUACGUAGGGUGCGAGCGUUGUCCGGAAUUACUGGGCGUAAAGAGCCCGUAGGUGGUUUGUCGCGUCGUCUGUGAAAUUCCGGGGCUUAACUCCGGGCAUGCAGGCGAUACGGGCUGACUUGAGUGCUGUAGGGGGGACUGGAAUUCCUGGUGUAGCGGUGAAGUGCGCAGAUAUCAGGAGGAACACCGAUGGCGAAGGCAGGUCUCUGGGCUGUAACUGACGCUGAGGAGCGAAAGCAUGGGUAGCGAACAGG